GUCGAGAAUUUUUCUCAAUGGGCGAAAGCCUGAAGGAGCGACGCCGCGUGAGGGAUGAAGGGCUUCGGCCUGUAAACCUCUGUCAUUUGCGAACAAACCUUUCCACCUAACACGUGGAGAGCUGAUUGUAGCGAAAGAGGAAGGGACGGCUAACUCUGUGCCAGCAGCCGCGGUAAUACAGAGGUCCCAAGCGUUGUUCGGAUUCACUGGGCGUAAAGCGUGCGCAGGCGGUUCUGCAAGUCAGAUGUGAAAUCCCCGGGCUCAACCUGGGAACUGCGUUUGAAACUACAGAGCUAGAGUAUGGGAGAGGGAGGUAGAAUUCCACGUGUAGCAGUGAAAUGCGUAGAGAUGUGGAGGAAUACCAAUGGCGAAGGCAGCCUCCUGGCCUAAUACUGACGCUCAUGCACGAAAGCGUGGGGAGCAAACAGGAUUAGAUACCCUGGUGGUCCACGCCCUAAACGAUGUCUACUAGUUGUUGGUGGAUGUAAAAUCCAUUAGUAACGCAGCUAACGCGUGAAGUAGACCGCCUGGGGAGUACGGUCGCAAGAUUAAAACUCAAAGGAAUUG
rnacentral:rRNA from 1 species